rnacentral:lncRNA from 1 species
AAAAAAAAAAAAAAAGGUACAAUAAUAUAGGGACCAAAAAUCGUAAGAUUUGAUCUAUUAGUUGAUAUUUAAGAUUUAUUUUAACAUUCCUAUCGACAUAGAUAUGAAUGAAUUGAAUCGUAAGAUUUUAAUCGUAAAUCAUAAGAUUUUUUGCUCGGUAUUGCGAAAUUUCCUAAAUGUGGCGGACAUUUUGGAUAGUGAUAGAGAUAUCCACUUGGGGUCAAAUUUGCAAUUUGGGUGGAGCGGCUAAGAAGAUGGAGUAAGUAUAGGGGUGAUUCUGCAAUUUUCAGAGCAGAUUCAGCUAGGGAGGUGGAUUUUCGAAAAUUACAAAUUUACCUCCAUUUGGGAACAUUUUCGGUUUAAGGACCGAUAUUAAAAAUGGUAUAUAAUAUAGGGACCAAAUCUGUAAUUAUCAUAAGUUUAUUAUAAAUAAUAUAAUAAAUUAAAGUUUUCUUAAAUCGUAAAUCGUAAAAUUUUAUUGGUUUGUUGAUAUUUAAGAUUUAUUUUAAUUUUUCAAUAUGAACGAAUUGAAUCCUUAGACUUGAAUCUAAAUCAUAAGGAUUAAACUCGGUAUUGAUAAUUAAGGUAUUGCGUCACACGCGAUUAUAGAUGAGGAGGAGUCAAAGGAUACUGCGUUGGUGUCGGAUAUUUCGGAUAUUUCAAGAGAGAUCCACUUUGGGGUUAAAUUUGCAAUUUGGGUGGAGCGGGUGGGAAGAUGGAGUAAGUACAGGGGUGAUUCUGCAAUUUUUAAAACUGUUUCAGUCAGCGAGGUAAAUGUCCAGAAAUUACAAAUUGACUCCCACUGGGGUGCAUUUCUGGUUUAAGGAACAAUAUUAAAAAAAGGUAUAAUAAUAUAGGGAUUAAAAAUCGUAAUUUUGUAUCGAUUAGUUGAUAUUUAAGAUUUAUUUAAACAUUUCAUUCGACACAAAUAUGAAUGAAUUGAAUCGUAAGACUUGAAAUCAUAAAUUUUUGUGCUCGGUAUUGCGGAUUUUCGUAAAUGUGACAGAUAUUUUGAAUUGUCAAAGAGAGAUCCCCUUUUGGGUCAAAUUUGCAAUUUGGGUAGAACGGCUAAGAAGAUGGAGCAAGUAUAGGCAAUACAGGGGUGAUUCUGCAAUUUUCAGAACUAUUUCAGCCAGGGAGGUGGAUUUUCGGAAAUUACAAAUUGAACUCCACUUGGGGGCAUUUCCGGUUUAAGGACUGAUAUUAAAAAUGAUAUAUAAUAUAGGGACCAAAUCUGUAAUUAUCAUAAGUUUAUUAUAAUAAUAUAAUAAAUUAAAGUUUUCUUAAAUCGUAAAUCGUAAAAUUUGAUCGUUUUGUUGAUAUUUAAGAUUUAUUUUUACUUUUGAAAUGACUUCGGUAUGAACGAAUUAAAUUGUAAGACUUGAAUCGUAAAUCAUAAGAUUUUAUACUCGGUAUUGCGAAUUUUCGUAAAUGAGUCGCACGCGUUUAUAGGUGAGGAGUAGUAAAAGUAUACAGCUUUGGUGACGGAUAUUUUGGAUAUUGCAAGAGAGAUCCAUUUUGGGGUUAAAUUUGCAAUUUGGGUGGAGCUGGUGGGAAGAUGGAGCAAGUAUACGGGUGAUUCGGCAAUUUUCAAAACUGUUUAAAUCAGCGAGGUGGAUUUUCAGAAAUUACAAACUGACCCCCACUAGGGUGCAUUUCUGGUUUAAGGAACAAAAUUAGAAAAAAAAAAAGGUAUAAUAAUAUAGGGACCAAAAAUCGUAAAUUUGACCGAUUAAUUGAUAUUGAAGAUUUAUUUUAACAUUUCAAUCGACAUAGAUAUGACUGAAUUGAAUCGUAAGAUUUGAAUCGUAAGUCAUAAGAUUUUGUGCUAGGUAUUGCGAAUUUUCGUAAAUGUGGCGGAUAUUUUGGAUAGUGAAAGAGAGAUCCACUUUGGGAUCAAAUUUGCAAUUUGGGUGGAGCGGCUAAGAAGAUGGAGCAAGUAUAGGGGUGAUUCUGCAAUUUUCAGAACUUUUUCAGCUAGGGAGGUGGGUUUGCGGAAAUUAAAAAUUGAACUCGCAUUUCCGAUUUAAGGACCAAUAUUAAAAAAUGUAUAUAAUAUAGGGACAGAAGCUGUAACUAUCGCAAGUUUAUUAUAAAUAAUAUAAUAAAUUAUAGUUUUCUUAAAUCGUAAAAUUUGAUCGUUUUGUUGAUAUUUAGAUUUAUUUUUACUUUUGAAUUGACUUAGGUAUGAACGAAUUAAAUUGUAAGAUUUGAAUCGUGAAUCAUAAGAUUUUAUACUUGGUAUUGCGAAUUUUCGUAAAUGAGUCACACAUGUUUAUAGCUGAGGAGUAGUAAAAGCAUAAUGCAUUGGUGGCGGAUAAUUCGGAUAUUGCAAGAGAGAUCCACUUUGGGGUUAAAUUUGCAAUUUGGGUGGAACGGCUGGGAAUAUGGAAUAAGUAUAGGGGUGAUUCUGCAAUUUUCAAAAAAAAUUCACCCAGGGAGGUGGAUUUCCAGAAAUUACAAAUUCACCCCCACUUGUGGUGCAUUUCUGGUUUAAGGACCAAAAAAUAAAAAUAAAAAGGUAUAUUGUAUAGGGACCAAAAUUCGUAAAAUUUGAUCGAUUUGUUGAUAUUUGAGAUUUAUUUUAACAUUUGAAUCGACAUAGAUAUAGAUGAAUUGAAUCGUAAAUCAUAAGAUUUUAUGCUCGGAAAUGCGAACUUUCAUAAAUGUGGCGGACAUUUUGGAUGUUGAAAGAGAGAUCCACUUUGGGGCAAAUUUGCAAUUUGGGUGGAGCGGCUAGGAAGAUGGAGUAAGUAUAGGGGUGAUUCUGCAAUUUUCAAAGCUAUUUCAGAGAGGUGGAUUUUCAGAAAUUACUAAUUGACCUCAACUUGGGGGCAUUUCCGGUUUAAGGAUCAAAAUAAAAAACUGUAUAUAAUAUAGGGACAAAAAUUGUAAUUUUCACAAAUUUAUUAUAAAUAAUAUAAUAAAUUAUAGUUUUCCUAAAUCGUAAAUUGUAAAAUUUGAUUGUUUUGUUGAUAUUUAAGAUUUAUUUUAACUUUUGAAUCGACUUAGGUAUGAACUGUUUGAAUAGUAAGAUUUGAAUCGUAAAUCAUAAGAUUUUAAACUCGGUAUUGGGAAUUUUCGUAAAUGAGUCACGCGCGAUUAUAGCUGAGGAGGAAUAGAAGCAUACUGCGUUGGUGGCGGAUAUUUCUGAUAUUGCAAGAGAGAUGCACUUUGGGGUUAAAUUUGCAAUUUAGGUGGAGCAGCUGGGAAGAUGGGAGUCAGUAUAGGGAUGAAUCUGUAAUUUUCAAAAACAUUUCAGCCAGGCAGUUAGAUUUCCAUAAAUUUCAAAUUGAGUGGUGCAUUUAUGGUUUAAGGACCAAAAGGAAAAGGAAAACUGUUUCAGUCAGGGGAGUGGAUUUCCAAAAAUUUUAAAUUGACCCCCACUUGGGUUGCAUUUCUUAUUUAUGGACCAAAAUUUCAAAAAAAUUGAUGUAAUAUAGGGACCAAAUAUGUAAUCAUCCCAAGUUUAUGAUAUAAAUAAUAUAAUAAAUUAAAUUUUUCGUAAAUUCAUUCAUUUUCUCCCAAAACCAAAUUGGUAAUCGUAAACCGUAAAAUUUGAUCGAUUUGAUUAUAUUUAAAAAUUUAUUUUGACAUUUGAAUCGAGUCAGGUAUGAAUGAAUUGAAUCGCAAGAUUUGAAUCAUAAAUCAUAAUCCAAUGUCAUAUAAUUUCCCAGCACCAAAAGAAUAAAUAAAGAAAAUCGCAAACUCAACAUAAUGAGAAAUUCAAGGAACAUAUAACUGCUACUUGAAAUUUAUUUAUACCUCUAAACCAUUUGUAAAACCUUCAUCCGCAUUGUCAUUAGACUAACCAUCUCCCAUUAUACAAGAAUCUAGAUACUGAAAACAGGAAUAUAAAUUUCAUAAUAAUAAUAGUAAUAAUAAAAUCUAGAUAUAGGCUAAUACCUAUCAGUGCGAGCAAAACGUUCUCCGGCGACAUAACCAUUACCGGGAGCUCCCUCAGCUUGCCCUUGAAGUUCAUUUUUCCUAUCAGAGCCAUAGACAGGUAAAAUGGCAUAAUUUACUUUUACUGUUCCUAACAUCGAAUAAAAUACGAGAAGCACAAAAAUUACCUUCAAACAGGUCUUGGGCCGAGGCAGUUACACACUGCAGCCAUCGCUUAUUUCGUACCGCAUGCCUUUAUUCCGGUAGCCUUUAACGGAAGUUAGAACGACAGUGCAUCGGAAAUAGUUUAGUAGCUCUCUCUCCUGUCGAACAAAAAGGGCAUCGAAAAUAUUCUAUUCCCCAAAAUCAGAUCUAUAACGAGAUCAGUAAACAAUUAAAUCUUCUCUUAAUGCAGGAAUAAUUUGCUCGAGGCACCUAUGUGUUUAUUUUUGUGCAAAACUGAAACACCUAUUUUUACUUCACCUACAAAGAAGAAGAACCACUAUAAACAUGAGCAUAAAAGCAUCGAAUAAAUGAAUCGUUACCUUUCCUCUUACUGCAACACCCCCUCGCUUCUUAAUGGAAUUGAAAGGAGAGACAUGGAGAACUACGGAUUCUGAUUUCGUUAUGUUAAAAGUUGGAAAUAUAGAUACACUAUCGUACGACUUAAAAGUACCUUAACACCCCAUUGAAGGACAGCUUUUUCGGUUGGAGAUCCCGAAACCUCCAUUGCACCCUCCUAAACACUACAAGAGAUAAAAACUCGGUUAAUGAUCACACUCCCUUCCGAAGCACAGACAUUUAUUUACGAAAAGACUUGAAAAAUCCAUGCUCACGUACUGAUGAAAAGAAUACAUUAGAUAGAAAAACACUGCCGGAAGUGUUCUGUGCAAGUCCCUCGUCUAGAAGAGAGGAAAUUGUUGCAUGCAACUGAGCACCGUCUUCAGGAGGAUCCAUCUUCUGUUUCCCAACAUAAGCCUCAACUACAGUCAUCUGUCUUACGUGGUUUGUCAAAGUUAGUUACACCAAAGUCGGAAAAAAAAAAAAGGACAGAGAAAGUAAAAUAACCUGAUUUAGUGUCAAUGUUGCAGUCUUGUCACUGCAAAUGGUUGUUGCAGAUCCCAUGGUUUCACAGGCGGAAAGUCUAGGCACCUGAAAGAUAUGUUGAGUUAAUAAUAAAGCUGUAAUACAAUUGAAUAAACUAAAUAUUCUGGGAAAGAUGAAGUAAAGUCGACAUACCAAGGCCUUGUCAGCCAUCAUCUUUUUCAUGGAGUAUGCUAGGCUGUUAUAAAUUCAAGAUAAAUCGAAAUCAAAAUAAGGACAAAACGGCAACAAUCGAUGUACACAAAAGACAAGUUAUGAUACUCAAGACAAGGUUACAGCCAACGGGAGCCCUUCCGGGACUGCAACCACCACUAUCGUGACCUAAACGAAGGACUUCAGUCAAUGAACAGAAAAAGGAAGGUUAUCUAACGUAUUCGCAAUUACGUAUCAAAAUGUAGAAACUUACAGCAGCAGUUAUGAUAUGUGUAUAACCCCAUCAACUAUUUCGCCAACACUGGUCUCUCCAUGGACGAACUGAACAGAUCCAUCGGGAUUUUUUUACGUCCCCGUGAAAAAUCUGAGGUAAUUAAUUUGUCAAUGUUACUGAUACUCAGAAAGUGGUCGUAGAAUAAGAUAACACGAAACACUGCCCAAAUUACCUGAUUAAGAGAAUAAUCAGCACGAAGAGAGCCACGGUGAGCCCAACGAUGCCUAUAAACGUUGCAACACCAUUCAGGCGCACCUGUAAUGUAUCAACAGGAUCCAUAAUUGGUUUUAUUUAUUUUCAUGUAGUAAGUAAACAAUGAAAAGAUGAACCGUUAUAUCCAAUAAGUACCUGCAAAGGAGUUUCUUCACCGGUAUCUUCUGAAAUACUGGCCAUCAACAAUCCCCAUUCGGUGUUGAUUCCGACACCAGUUACCUGAAACAGAAAUUUGAACUUGUUAUAAUAAUUCAACAUCUGAAAUUGGAACAGAAAUUAAGCGUGGUCGAAAAUUCGUUUACUGGAGGUGGGAAAGUUUUAUAUCUUACCAUCAUUGUUCCGGCACCAGCUGCUACUUUGCAACCAGACAUAAAAAAUGGAGAUUUGUGGACCUGCAAUAAUGGCAUUGUGUGUGAGAAAUAAAAAUAUAAUUAUCUAAUAUUAUAGAACCUUCAAAAUAAAGUCUAAGCAGCUCACAAUCUUGCUUUCUCCAGUCAUGUUGGAUGCGUCAAUGGCGAGAGAAUGUCCGCUUAUCAAGAUUCCAUCGGCAGGAACCUGUGUAAAAUACAUUAGGAGACUCUUUUAGACAAUGAUGCGUGGUCCAAGAAAGUAUAUCGAGUAAAAUCGGAUCUGUUAUCACCUGAUCACCAAUCUGGAGAGGUAUGACAUCUCCAACCACAAUCUCGUAUAGCGAAACCUUGUUUCUUCUGCCACCUCUGAUCAUCUGUACAUAUGUUUGUCCAUGAGAGUACUCUAAAGAGAACAAUAACAAGAAGGUAAAAAGCUUGAAUAAGUUCGUGACUGGAAUAUUACCUCCAAUUUGAUGUUCCGUUUUUCUUCGUUUAAAUUUUGAAACUGGAGGGACUGCCGAUAAUCACUAGUUGCUGAACAACAGAUGCAAUGAUAAAAAGUGAAAAUUAUAUUACUUCUCUCCUAAGGUUAUAAAUAACCAAUCUGAAUUUUAUAACCUGUAACAAAAAUAACCAGAAGAACAACAAAGGUGAUGCUUCCUCCGUCGUACCAUCCUUCCUCCAGGCCCUGGAAAACACGAGCAAUUCUUAAAUUUAUAUAUGAAGGAAAUUAUAUAAAUUCUUUUAAUAAUAUGGUAUUGUUUUAUUUCAAGCCAACCUCAGUUUUUAUUCCGAGAGCCAAAGAGGCCACGGCGGCUAUUAUUAAAAUAAUGAGAGUUAGAUCCUGCCAAGCCUCCCAUAGGAAUCUCUGCGCAAAAACAAACGUCGAAUAAGUAAAUGGUGGAAAUGUAUAAGUAAGAACAUCCUAUCAAACAAAUAUAACACUCUAGACAAGUCUUACCAAGAAACCCCUUCCUUUUUUCACGGGAUACGUGUUUGAGCCGAAAGCAUUCUUUCUUCGUGAUAACUCAUUUUCGUCACCGUAUAUCCCUGUUUCGACGUCUGUUUUUAUCAUAUCUGCCAACCCUUUAACCUGAAUAAAAUGACGGUCGAGAUUAAUAUUUAUGCAUAUAGCAUAUGUUAGCAAACUUCCUAGAGAGAUGGUGAAGGGAAAAAGGAAGUGUUACCCCUCCAUAUUGUUGCAGUGCUGUAAUAUUAUGAUCCAUGUUCAUCGAAGCAAGUUGCUCGAGUCCGAUUUCAUAAUCACCGUUAGGAGAUGGUGGAGCUACUGUCGUGCCUAAUACUGAUUUGACGAAAAUCAAAUCAGGUUUGUAGCAGAGAUGGAAAUAGGAAAACCCGCUUAAAAAGAAGCAACGCUCGAAAAAUACCUAUUGCUCGUUGUCUAGCCAACUUAAAGAGCAGUGCAGCCUACAACCACCGACACCAGAAUAUCAAGAAUCGAAUUAAUAAAAGUACGGAAUGAAGACUAAUGUGUUUUAAUAUUACCCUUAUGACCUGAGCAUGUGCUCUGAUCAUCCGUCUUCUCUUUUCUUGUUCUUCGUCUUUUUUCAGGUCUAACGUGUAGCGGAAACAUCACGAAGCAUUAAGCACGAGGGCGGCUUGCUGCAAAAGGACCAAGACUUAGACAAUCAGAAAGAGGUGCACAUGCAUGCAUCAAGGAAACAACUCUUACGAUAGAGUCACAACUCUUUAAUUAACAUUUCAAUAAAGUUACAACCCUUCAAAAUAACUCUAGAGACAUGUCCUUUUAUUCAAUAGUUAUAACUCUUUUAAUUACCACAAUAAAAUAGCCAAUAAAAUUAUAAAUAAUUUAUCCAUUAAAUAACUUAAUAUAAUAUAUAAUAUUAUAUACGUAAUAUAUAUAGACCACAAUAUUCUUACAAUAAACACAUAAUUUUGGGUUAAUCCCAUUUUGUACCCUUAAAAUGUGGUAUUUUUGCACUUUGCACCCUUGAACAAACUUAAUAGCAUUUUGAACCAUCGAAACACAAUAAAUCAUUCACAAUGUACCAUGUGCUGAGAAAACUAUAUUUUUUUCGUAAAACAUUUUAUUGUGAAAAAAUAAAUUAAUAUGUUGAUGAGAUGUAUUUUUAUUUUUACACUUUGCAAUUUCGAAAUGAUUGAUGAAUAAAAGAAAAUAUUUGACAUUUGAUAUCAUAAAAAAUACCACCUAAAAUAUUAAAUUACCUUUAAAAAUUCACACGGAGUGCAUGAAGCAUUAUUCACCGUGUUUCUAGGGUACAAAAUGCUAUAAAUUACUUUUUAGGGUGUAAAAUGCAAAAAACCUAUAUUUCAAGGGUGCAGAGUACAACUAAGCCCAUAAAUUUGCAACAAUAUUUUCUGAACAUUUAUUUAAAACCCAGCCCAGUUACCCAAACCCAAGCCCGUUUAUCUAUCUGGAUCCAUUCAACUCUUUUCAUAGUAUAUUCGUAGAACCCCCAAAACCCUCGACGAGCGCAGCUUCUGCGGAAGCUCAAUCCUCUGACAGAUUGAUCAUCAAUGGUGAAACGACGUCGCGAGCCGGAUUUCAAUGGCGCCAAUACAGAAACGGCGGAUAAUCGGACGGUGUUUGUCGACACCAGCCUCGAUACCCACCUCGCCGUCACCGUAUCCAACUCCGAUACAGUAUCCGAUUUCAAAAGUAUGCAUUCUCUUAUUCGCUAUUUUAUUCCUAUGUAUAUAUUUUUCUGCAUUUAUGUGAUUGAAAUGGUGGUCUCCAGAUAUAUACAUGUGUAUAUAUAUGCACAUUAGUGCAAAAUGUUGAUCCUUUGAAAUUGUAAGUUAUGUGAAAUUUUGUAUGCUGCCAUGGAAUGCUGUUGCUUAUUUGAAAAGAAAAGUAAUAAUAAUAAUAAUAUCAUAUUUACGCGUAGAGGGAGCUUCGAGAAUUGACUUUCGAAUAAUAAUAAUAAUAAUAUCAUAUUCACACAGAAAGAAUGAAUUUCUGUGUCUGGGUGUGUGAAAGGGGAAAGAGAGGGCUUUUUUUCUUUUUUCUUUUUUAACUCCGCAAUUAGUGGUGGGUACGGUUACUGGAGGUUUUUUCAGGUGCUUUUGUAGAGUGGGAGACCUUUUUGAAAUUUUAUAUUCCCGUUAAAUAUAACCUCCUCUGUACAUGCAUGUCUGUAAAUGUGUGUGUAAAAAUUGUUGCCACCGUAAAGUGAAGGGUCGGGUCGGAACGGGACGGAAGUUGGAAACAUGAGAUUAGAUUAAGAAAAAAUAAGAAAUUGGGUUGAUUUUUCUUUUGGGGUUAAAAAGCAAAAAUACAUAUGUCAAUGUUGGUCGUAAUUUUGAGAAGUCAGUCAGUCAGUCAGUCACACUUGGUCGUAAGAAGAAAAACAACACUUUACACUUAUGGUUCGAAAAUGAUGAUUGAAUGGUCUGAUUGAAUUGCAAACAUGUCUAGAUAAAGUUUUCGACGAAAUGUUUAUGCCCUAAACUUUAAUAAACUGAUGGUAGAUCAGCCUUUUUUUUUUCCCCCUUUCAUACUCAAAGUUUUCUUUUAUAUAUUUUGUGCGUGCAGGGAAGACAGCGUUGGAACAUAUGCGGUGCUUCCCGGAAAUCGGGGAGAUACAUAUCCAUUCUUUAAAGGUACAUACGUAUGUUCUUUUAGAAGUGUAUUAUAAGUAGAAGUAGAGUUUAGUGUCUUAUGCUGAGUUUGUUUGUCACUUGGGUAGGUAAAACGUAGAGCGGUCUUUUACCACCUGCCUGAAACUAUGCUUGUUAGGAGUGCCCUUCAAGCGGGAAACAGUAGUUGGUUUCUUUCAGCUGAUGCUUCCGCCACUCCCGCGCGUCAGUUAAAUCAAAAUUCCUUACAGCUUGAUCCAAGCUACGGUGUUAAGAUGGACGCAAAGAAUAUUGAUGAUAAUAAUUGCAGAGAUUUGUUGCCUGUUGUAAAUGUGUUGCAAGCCCUUCCAAUGCCCUUGCCAGAUGGUGUUAGUGAAAAGAAUUUAGCUUCAGAAAUGAUUCCUGCAUGUGAGGUCGAUAAAUCUUUGGAAAAGGCAAUUGAAAUUCCGAGCAACAGUUAUUCAGAGGAAGAUUGUAUCGGAACUGGUGAGUCUCGUGCAAAGAAGAAGCGGAAAAUAAGCCACACAGAAGAUGUAUGUUGUGAUCCUAGUUUGAAAGAUACGUUCGCCUUGUCUCAUUUAUCCGGUAAUGAUAUAUCACUAACCGAGACUGUGGGCAGUGGAAAUUCAACGGUUGAUGCAGUAAAAGAAGCUACUGGAGAUAUUGUACUAUACCAGCAAAAUGAAAAACCUAAUACGUCUAAUGCAACCGAUGAGGUUUCAGGUUCGAGGAAUGAUCAAUGUGAUAUUGAGAGCGGGGUUGGGUUGGAGGGUAAAUCUGCACCUGAUACAGCAGAAGAGGGUAAGUUAGGGAGCACUAUGGAAUCUCAGAAUAUUCUAGAUUCUGACACAAGGAAAGAAAACACUUUGUUAGAGGGUACAGUUCCUGAAGAUUUGAUGGCCAGCAAACUGGAGUAUGAACUUGGCCAAGAUGUUAUUAUCGAACAUUCAGGGGGUGUCUCUGUUAGAGUUCCAGAUUCUAGUGGUGCAAUGGAAGAUGAUGUUAUUUCUGAUGGAAGUCAGGCGAAUAAAAUGGAAGCCCAGCAAAUCCAGGAUACCACAGAUAUGGAGCAGACAGCAAAAGAUGAUAGCAUUAAUCCAUGUACUGAAAAUCACGAAGUUGAUAAAAUGGAAGUAGAAAAGGGAUUGUCUCUAAAUUGUGAUCGUGAAAUUUCAACGCUGUUGAACAGCAAAGAUUCAGACCAUGCUGAUCCAGAUUUAAUGCCAAAUGAAGCAAGUUUGUCGUCACAUGUUUGCCAUGCAAAUGUCAUUGUGGAACCGGAUUCUAGUGGUGCAAUGGGACAUGUCAGUUCUGAUGAAAGUAAGAAGAAGAAAAAGAAAGCCCAGAAAAUGGCCAAACCUGAAAUCUCUAGUGGCGGUAGGAAGAAGUCGAAAAGGAAGGGAAAGAAGGAAAAGAAAUCUGCCACCAGUAACAUAGAAAAGUCAGGCAUUGAACAAACUGAUAAUGGUGGCAUUGGCUCGUCGGAGUUGCUUUGUGCUCCAACUGAUCCUAUCCCAGAAGAAACUCACAAGGAAGAAAGCAUAUUGUACCAUAAAGAAAUGGAUGUCAACAUAGCAUUGUUGGAUAGUUCCACUCAAGAUCCUAAUGAGGAAGUCAAAGAUACUGAUAAAAAAGAGGCAGAGUUUUCUAUAUUGACUCAAACUAAGCAAGCUUUGGACGGUGUGGACACUGGGAACAAAACGGUAGAGGAGAAGACCCAACUUUCUGCUGCUCACGCACAUUUGCCUGCUGUAGUAGAGUUCACUGAUGUGGAGAAGGAUAUCAAGACUUCAGAGGGUAAGAUUGAAAAAUCCAAACGAAGAAAGAAGAGAAAACACGCUGAAUCAGAUGUCCAAGAGAAUUUGCCAUCCAAGGAUCAAAAGGUUGAUAUUGAAGCAUUAACAACAGAGGAAAAUUUAAAUGGUUUUGUAAAUUCCGAACAGAAGAGAGGUCAUGAAGCCUCCUUGCAAGUUCUAUCCAGUAAAGGUGAAGAGAAGCUUGAGGAGAUACAUACGGCUCCUGUGAUUACUGAUGAUCCAGCUAAAACUUCCGAAAAUGGAGGUGUAGGCAUUAACUUCAAGGAAUACUUUUUGCCUGGCCAAAACAAAGAGAUAACUGAUUCUGGCGAUAAAACUGAAGAAAUGAGAACUUCGAAAAACGUUAGAGAUGACGUUUUACCUUCUGUUGGCGUCUCAACUGACUUACAUAACUCAAUCAAGAAAACUAAGAGUAAGAGAAGUGAGAAAAAAACUCGUGUAACAAAGGAUAGUGGGAGUAGGCAGGGAGACUCCGCACAGAAUUGUGCUUUUGAUGAAGUAAUCUCUAAACCCUCCAAAAGAUCUUCUAAAAGUAGGGUGAACGAAAAGAACCCAUCUUUGGAUAAAUCAAGCUCGAAAAAGACCGAGACAUUUCACGAAAGGAGAGGAAAUAAGAGAUUACAUUCGAGUCUGAAUGUAACUGAUAAAUUGGUGAUGAAGACUUCGAAGAAAAAGAGUAUGUUAACCAUACCAGGAGCAAUUUUUCAGGAUAAUAGUGGUGAAAGUUCUGCUGAUGAUAAUGGAAAUGUGCAUUUGAAAGGUAGCAUUGCCAGUCCACCAGACAGCUCAUCCGAGUCAGACAACGCGAUAGAGAAAGGUGAAUUUCUAACUAAUAUACGUGUGUGUGUGUGUGCGUGUCUCUUUAUAUAUAUGUUGGGGAAACUUUUUCAUGAUUUCACUACUGCAUGAUAUUCCUUCGCUUUCAAGUUUCAAGAAUUUAUCCCGUGUUCAUACUUCGCAUUUUUUCAUCAGCAUUAAGAUUAUUUGUAUUUGCUAGAAGUGAGCGCUUCACUUACAUAUUAUGCUAAUAAAUUAGUAUCUUGAUAUCUCAGCUGAUGCAAAUAAUUGGUUCGUUUUUGUGAAUGUAACUAGGUGUCAUAGCUGUGUAAUGGGGUGCUUGCGUCACUUCUAUAUAUUUACAUAAUUGCUAAUGACGUCUUGUUUUUUGUUUUUUGUGUUGUUUUUUUUCUUGGCCUCCGCAAUUAAUAUAAGUAUAUUUAUAUUGAUCACAGGAUCAAAUGAUGUUGAAGGGAGAUCUACUGGUCGAAAAAGCAUUUCAGAAGUGGAGUAAGUUGAUCAUAUAUUUCCAGCCUUUACUACUCGUUUCUGUCCAACGCUAAAUCUUUUUUGAGUCUUGUGGACAUUUCUCUUGUGACAUCACUUUAUGAAAAUCACGAAACUAUUUGCAAAUUAUUAGGUGUUAUUUGAAGUUUGGUUACUGAAAUAACUUUCCGGGCCAAUCCGGAACUAUGGAAAAUUGAGCUGUUUUCUUGGCUUAUUGGGAGAAUGAAUACAUGUGUUAGAGCUCAAAUCUUACAAUGAAUCUUAUCUGGGGAAACAAACGAGAACUAAGAUUGUAUUUACUAACAUUCAUGAUUUUUUUUUUUCCGGUAAUGAAACUUAUACUUAUGAAAUUCUUAUUGCAACAGCAUCUCUGCCUCGAAGAAUAUGACAAUGGAUUUGAUAUUGAGAAGCUCUAAGCGGUUCAAAAAGGCAAAGCUCAAUGCCUAUGACAAUGGAUAUGAUGAUUCUGAGAAUCUCGAAGAGGUUCAAGAAGAAGGUAAAGCAGCAGAUAUAGGUCUCUCAAAAUAAGUCGAGCUCGAAUUUGUUCCUGAUAACUCCUCAGAGGUCAUUUUGUCUUGCCCCACGUAACCCCCUUUUUUUUUUAAGCUAAGUUGUGAGUUAAAUUCGAGAACCUCCUGUGUCCACAAAUGUAAUCUUAUCUUUCAUAUUUUUUGUCUUGUUCCUUAGAGGUUGAUGCAAUGCGAGUCUAUUCCUGGUUCGAAAACGAGAAAGCUUGUCUGUUUGUUUUUUCCUCAUUUUGUGGAACGAUUAUCGAUUUUGUGCCGUUUUGAGAGGGCGUAAAAGGGAAAGCGCUUUUUUUUUAGUGAUGUUUGCUAUGCUUUGCAUAUAUCUUAGUUUGAAUGCUAAAUCAAUCCAUGUUAAUAUACGGCAUUAUCGAAUAAUAUUCCCUAGAAAUACACAAGCUGUGUGUCGAUUUUUUAUUUUUUUUUGGACAAAAAACAAAAAUUAUCCGUGCGACGCACGGUUUGUGUAUUUGUUGGAAAUAUUAUUCGAUAAUACUGAAUAUUUAAAAAUAAAUUAAAUUAAAUCACAAAAUAUUGUAGAAGAAUGUGUUGUCUAGUUAGUGAAAAAAACAUGAAUAUAUAUAUAUAUAUAAUGGGGAAAAAGAACAUUUAAUUUGAUCUUGGACUGCAGUUCUCAUAUAGAUUUGGCAUUGGACAAAAGAAUUGAAGGCAAAUAAAAUCAAGUAUUUAAAAAAAAAAAUCAGUAAAAAAAAUUAAAUAAAGUAAAGGUGAAGAAUUAACAAAUAUUGUUCAUAGCGCACGUGUGACCGGUUUUCUCCGAAAAACAACCUCAGUAUCCAACCCGAACCCAUCAACGGGCCGAACGUGAACCAGCUCGGAUCUCUUAAACAGCUUCUUAAGCGGCUCAACGCUGAACAAGUCAUUAGCCGAGUACUUAUCCGACCGUCUCUUCAGCGCCACGUGUAACACACACACCCCACCAGGCCUCAGCGUCCGUUCGAUCUCCCCAACAAACUUCUCCGGGUACAGCGCGUGGUCGAACACGUUCGAGAACUCGAAGUCGAAACUCCCGUCAUCGAACGGCUGGUGAUGGAAGUCCCCCCUCACAACCAACGGCGAAGAUGGCACCAGAUCCAACCCGAUCGAGUCGGACACUCCGACCCGUUUCAGAGCCUCCACUUCCUGCCCCAUUCUCGCCCCGACGCUCAGAGCUUUGGAGGAGUUGGAGAGAAGGUUCUUCUGCUUGAGAUCGCCGAAGAACCCGGCGAAGACCCGGAUUUUCCGGUCCCAGUCUCGGGUUUUCCAUAUUUCUCGGAGCUUCGGGUUGAGGGUUUUGUUGAGCUGGUGGUGGAUGUAGGACUCGUAGGUGGUGUAUCCGGGUCGGAUCUUCAGAUCCGGGAUGGCGGCGGCGGCGGUGGUGGUUGGGAGCGGUGUUUUGUGGGAGAUGUAGAGGAAGAGGAGUGUUGUGGAGAGGAUGAAGAAGGCGAUGAAGCUUUUGGAUUUCAUGUAUGGUGGUUUGAUCAUAUAUAUAUCUUUAUAUGCUGCUGCAUGCAUGGCUUGUAAUUAAUUAGUUGUAUGUAUAUAUAUUACAUAUAUAUAUACGGUAUGUAUAAUGUAUGUAUAUAUGUGCGCAUCUAAAUUAUUUUUGCAGGGAAAGUGUGUACUGUGAGUAACUUGCGUCUCUCUCUCACACACACACGACGUGAGUGUGUGUGAGAGAGAGAGUUUGAUGGAUUGCAUGCAUGCGCUGCUCAGGAUCAUAGAACAGGUGGAGAGAAAUAAAGAUGCAUGUUUUACAUGUGUGAGUGAGUGUACAUUACUAGUAGUAUGCAAUUAUAAAAUUUAUACCAGCGUUAAUUUGUUAAAAUUACUAAUUUGUUUAUACUUUACACAAUUGUUAUAUUUUAUUAUUGGGGUCAUUUGAUAUACACCCCUAGAAUGGAAAAUAUAUAGGGAUAAGUCCACCCCUAAAAUUCUUUCUUUGAGAUACACCCCUGGAGAGGCAAAAGUAGUAUAGUGCCCUUAUUUGUAAAUUUUAACCAACUGCAUUCAGCUUUUCCAACUGCAUUCAGCAUUAUAGUUAACUGCACUCCACAUUAUUAGACCUGCAUUUAUCAUUUUUUCAGAUUUUUUAAUAAAAAAUUAUAAAUUUUUAUUUUAUUAUUAUUUUUGUAUACGUACCCUCUUUUUGUAUUUUUUUUUUAAUUUUUUUUUAAUUUUUAAUUUUUUAAUUAUUUUUAAUUUUUAAUCUUUAAAUUUUUUUAAUUUUGUUUUUUAAAUUUUUUUUUUAUUUUUUUUAAUUUUUUUAAUUUUUUAAUUUUUUUUUUAGUUUUUAAUAUAUUUUUUUUUAAUUUUUAAUUUACUGUACUGAAAUUGACUACACAUGACUAUCGUAUACCACACAUGUAUAGUUAUAUAUAGCCAUGUACUGUUUUUUUACCCCAAAGCUAUGAUAUUAUAAAAACCGUUGAUUAUAUAUAUAAAAAAUCAUCUAUACCAAUAAAAAAAUUCAAAAUUUGAUUCUUGAUAUUAUAAAUAAUUUAAUGCCUAACAAAAAAGUGAAAAACAAAACACAAUCAUCAAGAUCACUAUACAUCAGAAAAACCACAUAGUUUGUAUAUAAAUAUAUAUAACUACAUGGAACUAAUACAUGACUACAGUUAUCUAUACGACUAAAUUUGACUCAAAUCACACUUGUCAAUACGAGAACCGCUUGUUUUGAACAACGAACACAAUCCACUCCGCAAAAACUUACUACAUAGUAGUUCAAACACCAAGACCUGUGAAAAAAAAAAGAGUUAAACAAACAACAAAUUUUGCUUCAAAUUUAAAUGUGCACACACGCACUAUCACCUACUGGUAUACAUAGAUACUCCCCACAUAACUCAUACAUGACUACAUGACUACAUAGUUUAUAUAUAACUAUAUAUUACUACAUGUGACUACACCAUAUAUUACUGUAUGUUACUACACGUGACUAUAUAUUACUAUAUGUAACUACACCAUAUAUUACUGUAUGUUACUACACAUGACUAUAUAUGACUACAUGUAUAUGACCAUAUGUGACUAUAUACAUGUCUGUGACUUUAUUUGUCCCUUCAAGUACCUGACUUUGUUCUCCAGGCGAUACGACACGACUUAUAUUAUCAAAAUCAAAUUACAACAGAGUAUGCUAGUCAUUAUUCUUCGUAUAAUCAAAGGUCAAAGAUCAAAGCAAGUUGAAGUGGAACACCAUAGAUAAAAUAAUAGUUGAAACACACGUAAAGUAGUCACCUAUUUCAUUCUCGAUAAAUAAAAUAUCAAUAUCAUAUUACCAACAAAAUAUUCUCAUCACGAAUCUACAUAUACUCCCAAGUAUAAAAAAAAGUAAACAAAUCAUUUGAGGACCAAUAAACAGGGAUUCAAUAUAUUAAGAAGCACAUUAAAAUUCAUUACCUUUUCUAUGCCUUCAAUGGAUGAACAGUCAGUUUUGUCGCACCACCACCAGGAACAAGUUUCGAGUUUUUUUUAUUAUAUUUCUUGCCACAACAAUCGUGUUUUAUGUACAAGUCGACUCCUAAAAUUAAACUCACAGCUUCACAAAAAAAAAAGAGAGAAAAAAAAUUAAAACCAAAACUCAAAAAAUAACUGCAAAAUUCGAUGAUGGUUGUACAAAAAAUACUUUGGUGAACUCAAAAAAUACCUGCAAAAUUCGAAUUACAUUACAUGAAAAAUACAAAAAAACAAUGAAAAACACUUUAUUGAUAAAUUUACUUUGGUGAACUAUAGUCACAUGUAGUUAUGUCUUCUUGUUACUACAUAUGACUAUAUAUGACUAUAUGUAGUCAACUAUAGUCACAUGUAGUUGUGUUCAUUCUUGUUACUACAUGUGACUAUAUAUGACUACGUGUACAUGACCACAUGUGACUAUAUAUAUGUAUAUAUAUAAAAUUCCUCUACACCAGCAAAAAAGUUCACAAGUGAAUCUAUAUCAUAUGUUCGCCUUCAGAUUAGAACUGUAUGAUCAUAUAAUCAUGCAUCUGUUAGAGAGGAAACAUGAUUGCCUACUUAAUGUAUCCUAAAUUCCUAAUAGACAGAAACCCCACAAGAAACGAAAAAUAAUUUAAUUCCAGUUAAUAUACAUCAAGAUUAAUACGGUGUGAGAGAUAGGUAUAGUGAGAUGGCAGUUAACCAAUGACCAUUGUGCAAAAGACUUACACAGUUCAAAAUGUCUACCAACUUUCUAAUGUGUGUG